CUGUCGCAUGGUCUGACACUACCAGCUGACCCGUCGCUUGGUCUAACACUACCAGCUGACCUGUUGCAUGGUCUAACACUACCAGCUGACCUGUCUCUUGGUCUAACACUACCAGCUGACCUGUCAUAUGGUCUAAAACUACUCAGCUGACCUGUCGCAUGGUCUGACACUACCAGCUGACCCGUCGCUUGGUCUAACACUACCAACUGACCUGUCGCUUGGUCUAACACUACCAGCUGACCUGUCGCUUGGUCUAACAUUACCAGCUGACCUGUCGCUUGGUCUAACACUACCAGCUGACCUGUCGCUUGGUCUAACAUUACCAGCUGACCUGUUGCAUGGUCUAACACUACCAGCUGACCUGUCUCUUGGUCUAACACUACCAGCUGACCUGUCGCUUGGUCUAAAACUACCCAGCUGACCUGUCGCAUGGUCUAACACCACCAGCUGACCUGUUGCUUGGUCUAAACCUACCCAGCUGACCUGUCACAUGGUCUAACACUACCAGCUGACCUGUCGUAUGGUCUAACACUACCAGCGGACUUGUCACAUGGUCUAACACUACCAGCCGACCUAUCAUAUGGUCUAACACUACCAGCUGACCUGUUCCUUGGUCUAAAACUACCCAGCUGACCUGUCACAUGGUCUAACACUACCAGCUCACCUGUCGCUUGGUCUAACACUACCAGCUCACCUGUCGUAUUGUCUAACACUAUCAGCUGACUUGUCACAUGGUAUAACACUACCAGCUGACCUGUCACAUGGUAUCACUCAGUAUCACUACAGACCGCUGUACAGUGGAGACAAGCACAGCUAGAAUUAGCAAAAACCCACUUGUUUCAUCAUUUUCAUAUCAAAAUACUUGUUUUCUGUGAAAAAUUAUAUACCAUUUGAAAGAUCUGGAUGUGAACUUCUCAUAUAGUUUUAAUUAAAAUCUGACAGUUACAUAACAUGUCGGUGUCCCUCAAACACUCUGGUAUUUCUAUGCAUUUACAAAGUUUGUCCUUUGUUGUUGUUUUUUAAUGUCUGCUGAAUGCUAGUCCUCAUUCUAGUUCCGUGUACUGGAGCACUAUGACUCAAGUUGUGUUGAAAAUCAUACAAUCAGAAAGAGGAAUGUUUUUGUUUUAUUUUGAUAUUAGAAACCGAUGGGGUAUGUCAGGUAAUUGUUAUGAAAUAUAAAAGUUAUUAUUUUAUCAUUAAUUUUCACUGAGAAAAGAACAUAUUUUCUUCAAGGUUUUUUAUACCAUAAGAGAGAAAAAUUUCUCAUGAAUUCAAUAUGGUCAUUGCCGAAUCUAGCCACAAGAUGGUGAAAAAGCACAAAGUCAAAAAUAUUUUGAUCAUAUACUUUUUAUAUAUGAUUAACACAUAUUGACAGUAUUUGUCACACUGACAGAUUCCCACGCAGCGAGAAGUCAAAUGGAAUAUGAAUCAAAUAUUAAUUUUGAUCCAGAUUUUUAAAAAAUGGUAAGUAAACAUAUUUUUAUCAAAUAAUGCACUAAAUUGAGAUAAAUAUGUCUUCUAAUUAAUUAGAAUUUGCAUAUAUUGAAAAUGUUGUUUAUUCACUCUUGCUGUUUAAUGUGUGCUGGAUGACCUCUGAAUUUUACCUUGCAGGUAUUUUUGCACAUGUAUUUUUGAGAUAAAGGACUUGAAAUACCUAUUACAUGGAAGCAGGGCAUGCAUGAAAUAGCAACCAAAUCUUUCCUUUAUGCGUGAUUUCGAUGUCACAUUUGUUGAAAGCAUGCAAAAUAACGAAAAAGAAGAAAAAAAAAACCCACGAAACAAAACUCUGUUGCUAGGAAACUCAGACUUCCCCAGUGACCCAACGGGUCAUAGGUAAUCUAGUAGUUAAAUAGAACUGAAUAAUCGUAUUGAUAAAUACUACUCUUUGUAACAAGACUGUUAGUAACAUUUUAGUUAACUUCCAAGCCUAGUCACUGGCUUACUGUUGGCUCAUUAUUAUAAAUCUAUUAUAGAAAUGUUAAUGUAUGUGGUUAUGUAUUCAUGUUUAGCCCCAAAAAGGCUCUGGAAUGGUGAAUCUUUGAGGAAAACGAAUUUCAUUUUCGAAAUCUGUGUCCUACAGACAACGUCAUUCAUAAAUAAUAAUAAAAAAAAUUUAAUUUGCUGCAAGAAAUAACUCAACUUUUAGAUCAACUAUUCUCCCACUUUUUGUCUAUCUCCAUCAAUUUGUCUCUCUAUGUAUUCAUCAUGCACUUUGUAUAUGUAUUAAUUCUCACUCAUAAUUUUCCUUUUGUUACCUAAUGAUCUAACUUUAAGUUUCUUUAAAAUUUUUCUAAAAUUUUUUCUGGAAUAAUUGAAUCACAAAAUUGGAUUUAGUACGAAAAAGUACAUCAAUAUACUAAAUUUGAAAAUUUUCUCUUAAUUUAAACAUUUUUUAAUUUGUGACAGCAGCAGAGAUCUCCCUCUCUUUAUUGUCUGUCUGUUUCAGUUUUUCUUACUCUCUACAAAAAUAUAUUGCUCAUGCUGAGUGUGUGUGUGUUUGUGUGUGUGUGUUUGUUAGUGUGUGUAUGCAUGUAAGGAAUUUCAUUA